CAGGUACAAACAAGUAUGCCUGCGUCUCUAUCAUACUCAUUCAAACACAUUACAAGAAAAUCUCUUAUCACUGGAGAUUCUCUACCAAAUUGUGGCAGGCCUAGUGGCAAUCUCAACACUUCUGCCAAGUGUUCUUGGGACAAAAUUUGAAGAUAACGAAAAGGUGCAGCGAUGGAUGUUAAUAUCUUCAUGAUUAUUCAGGGAGGUUCAGAGUAUCAAUAAAUAGUGCAAAAUUUAUUGGGCUUCCAUUAUGAGGUUGAGUUAAUAAAGGAAGGAAAAUGAGAGCUUAAAGGAUCAAGGAGGCAUUCAGUCCUAGAAAUUGGUUGAAUUGUGGGAGGUUUCACCGUCUUGUUCAUCCUUAUUGAUUUAUCUUGCAUACAUUAUUCCGUGGAUUUCAUCAGAGAUAAUGACUUCUGAUCUUAUAAAUUUAUUCAUGAAUUAAAAUUGUGAAGAGGCAAUAAGAAGUUAAUUGUGGGUUGGAAUUGUGUAAGAGGUUGAUUCUUGUUUGACUGCAUGGAACUUUUUAGCAACCACUGAACUGGAAGUCAUUUCAUGAGUUCAAAUUGUGGCAGUUUCAAAAAUAUCUGAUGGGAACCCAGGCUUCGCCCCCUACCUGCAUUCUGCAGAGUUAUUAAUAUUUUUUUCUUUUCAUUUGAGUUCCACAUCUUCAAAGUUUGAUUACUAAUAAAUAUUUUCAUAUGUACUUCCAUGAGGCCAGGCAUACUGCUUAUUCCAGGGCUUCACAAAGAACUCAACGAAAGCAAUCCGACUGGGUUGCUGAUAGCCGGCAGAAUCAAUGUGUGGGUGUGGAGCAGAGGACCUAGCCACAGAAACCAGGUGCUGGACUUUUAACAUCCCACCUCUCCCAAUAGUCAACUUACUUCCUCUGUUUUCUUUAAUAGCACUGCUUGGUAUAUUUGAGGUUGUUGCUCGGAGAAACUUGUAUUUAUACCUGUUCGUGUCGAGGCAAGAAGCAUCAAGAUGCUGUCUAAUAAGUCAAAAUUAAAUGACACCUGCAAGUCUCCAUGACCUUCUCCUUUGAAGGUAACAGAAGGGGGAUCUGGUUGCAGUUUGAUCUGGAUGCUUGAUCCGGGCCACUCAAGGUCAUCAAUAGCUUCCUUCAGUGCUGCAGACUGCAGUGUAAAAACACCAAGGUUAUCCAUCCCUCACAUUGGUAAUUCAGGGGCAGGACAGUUUCUUCUUCAGGUUCUGUUGGGUGGAAUUUUGACUUUCUAUGGAUUUGAAAAAUGCCCUUUGUUCAGCUUUCUUUCCUACUUGUACUGCUUGAAUAUGUCUCUUCAACUGGAUUAAAAAUAUUUUGAAGAUAGUUGUGAAGAGUGGUGGAUGUAUACUGGGAAGCUUUUCAACUCCCCAAACCCUUCUCACGCAGUUGUAAUGUUAUAUAUGAGAGUAUACCUUGACAGUAAAACUGAGAGGUGUGCUUCCUGCCGGUUCAAAAUUGUAAUCCCAUGAAAUAGUAUCGGGUAUUUUUGUCCUGAUUUCUGCGUAGAUGCUAGCAUCCGGUGAAUCAACAGAUCUAUGAAUUUAAAGAAAAGAAAAAACAAAUGAUUAAUAAUAGGAUUUAAGUCAUUGUACUAAAUCCAGAUACAAAAAUUAAUAGAACCUCAUUAAGCUGUUAGUCCAGUGCUUGGCAGCUAGUUGCUAAUCAUCCUCAACUAAAUAUUUUACG